UCCCAUAUGGUCUAGUGGUCAGGAUUCCUGGUUUUUCAUGCAGGAGGCCAGGGGUUCAACUCCUGGUGUAGGAA
rnacentral:tRNA from 1 species